rnacentral:rRNA from 1 species
GGAUUAGAUACCCUGGUAGUCCACGCUGUAAACGAUGGGCACUAGGUGUUGGCGGAUUCGACCCCGUCAGUGCCGUAGCUAACGCAUUAAGUGCCCCGCCUGGGGAGUACGACCGCAAGGUUGAAACUCAAAGGAAUUGACGGGGGCCCGCACAAGCGGUGGAGCAUGUGGUUUAAUUCGAUGCAACGCGAAGAACCUUACCUGGGCUUGACAUAUUACUGGUACCAACCUGAAAGGGAAGGGACUCCUAGCUUGCUAGGAGAGGUAAUACAGGUGCUGCAUGGCUGUCGUCAGCUCGUGUCG